rnacentral:tRNA from 1 species
GUUUCCGUAGUGUAGCGGUUAUCACGUCUGCUUCACACGCAGAAGAUCCCCGGUUCGAUCCCGGGCGGGAACA